CAUGCUGUUCUCCCAUGUGGGCACUAAUGAUACUGUAGGGUAUGACCCCAAGCAGAUCAGAAGUGACUACAGGGCUCUGGGUCUGAAGGUGAAGGAGCUGGAGGUAGAGCUGAUGUUCUCAUCAUUGAUCCUUCCCGUCAAGGGUAGGGGCCCAGGCAGAGACAGCCACAUCCUGAAGGUGGAUGCAUGGCUGUGUUCACCAGGAGGGCCUCAACCACAGGAUGCUCUUCCGAGAAGAAGAAUUGCUGAGCAGAGAUGGGGGUCCACCUAUCAAGGAGAAAGUAUCUUUGGAUAGAGACUGGCUAACCUAGUAAGGUGGGCUUUAAACUAGGUCCUACAGAGACAGGAGACAAAAGCCCACAGAAGGUGGAGAAAAAGACUAGGGGAGAUGCUGUUUGGAUUCUCACAAAUACGGAGGAACUGGCUGAAAAUUUGAAGGUGGAAGGCAGUGUGGGUGAAAGCAAUCAUGAAAUGAUGAGUUCCUGAUUCUAAGGAAUGGUAGAAGGGAAAAUGAUAGAAUAAAGACAAUGGAUUUCCAGAAGACAGACUUCAGCACCCUCAGGAGAAUUGCGUUCAGUUCGAAUUUCCACCCACAAGUGCUUUUCAACAGGACUAAGCAUCUGUCUCAUCUAGAACACACGUGAAAUUUCCCCAAGUGCUGAGCUAAUGAACAACACUGACAGAAGAGGGAGGGACAGAAAUUGCUCAAUACUAAGGUAUAAAAGCCAGUUCGGCUCUUCAGUUAGGGACCAUGUCAAAAGUUCUGCACAUAAUAAAAACAUGACUCUGA